rnacentral:rRNA from 1 species
GACGAACGCUGGCGGCGUGCUUAACACAUGCAAGUCGAACGGAAAGGCCCGGCCUUGGUGGGGUGCUCGAGGGGCGAACGGGGGAGUAACACGUGAGUAACCUGCCCUUCACUUAGGGAUGACUUCAGGAAACUGGGGCUAAUACCGGAUAGGAGCUCCUGCUGCAUGGUGGGGGUUGGAAAGUUUCGGUGGUUGGGGAUGGACUAGCGGCUUAUGGGCUUGAUGGUGUGGUAGUGGCAGAGCAAGGCUUGGCCGGGUAGCCGGGCUGGGCGGGGGAGAUGAUCCGCCACACUUGGACUGCGGCACGGCCUAGACUCCUACGGGAGGGAGCGGUGGGGAACAUUGGAGGAUGGGCGAAGGCCUGAUCCAGCAACGCCGCGGGAGUGACGAAUGCCGUAGGGUUGUAAAGCUGCUUUACCCGGGACGAUAAUGACAGUACCGGGAGAAUAAGCACCGGCUAACUACGUG